rnacentral:rRNA from 1 species
AUUGAACGCUGGCGGCAGGCCUAACACAUGCAAGUCGAACGAGUGGCGGACGGGUGAGUAAUGUCUGGGAAACUGCCUGAUGGAGGGGGAUAACUACUGGAAACGGUAGCUAAUACCGCAUACCAUCAGAUGGGCCCAGAUGGGAUUAGCGUGUUGGUGGGGUAACGGCACACCAAGGCGACGAGCCCUAGCUGGUCUGAGAGGAGGACCAGCCACACUGGAACUGAGACACGGUCCAGACUCCUACGGGAGGCAGCAGUGGGGAAUAUUCGACAAUGGGCGAAAGUCUGACGCAGCCAUGCCGCGUGUAUGAAGAAGGUCUUCGGAUUGUAAAGUACUUUCAUCGGGGAGGCGUUACCCGCAGAGGAAGCCACGGCUAACUCCGUGCCAGCAGCCGCGGUAAUAC